rnacentral:lncRNA from 1 species
GAACAUCGAAAUUGUCAACGAACAACAAUCGAAACGACCUCAAAGUGGGCCCUGACCGGCGCGUACGGUUGCCAGAGGGGAGAGAGCUUGAAACAAAAGUAAAUUGCAAUAAAAGUUUUGUAAUUGACAAACGGACAACAAACAAAACUCCACUUCAGUUGCCGCUGUGCUGGACAGCAGGAAGAGCAUCGGGAGGAGAGGUGGAAGCACCAGGAGUAGCAUCAAGAACACCAGAGCUCAGCAUCGAAUCGUUUUUGGGAUGUGGUUAGGCGGCAUGGAGGAGGUAGAGGAUGUUCGUCUGUUUUUGUCCCAAACAACAAAAACCGAUGCUGCCCCCGAAAAACAGGAAGCGGCAACAGCAGCGACAAAAACUGUAGGAGGCCCAGCUCUGGUCCGGGGGAGUUCCCCCUUUAGUCCCAUUCCCCAUUAACUAAACCAGUGGCUGGCCUGGCCUGGCCAGGCCUGGUUGUCUCAUCAUUUCGUACAUUUGCGCCCGCAUAUUGACUUUGAGCGGGGUUAGGGGUGUGUGGGCAGCGCACAAACGAUUCACAGAUUUAAGAAAUAAAAGUUUAGUGCCCC